GGCCGAGUGGCCUAAUGGAUAAGGUGUCUGACUUCGGAUCGUAAAGAAAGAUUGUAGGUUCGAGUCCUGCCGCGGUCG
rnacentral:tRNA from 1 species